CUCCAGACUCCUACGGGAGGCAGCAGUGGGGGAUAUUGCACAAUGGGGGGAACCCUGAUGCAGCGACGCCGCGUGGGUGAAGGAGCGUUUCGGCGCGUAAAGCCCUAUCGGCAGGGAAGAAGGAGGACGGUACCUGACUAAGAAGCCCCGGCUAACUACGUGCCAGCAGCCGCGGUAAUACGUAGGGGGCAAGCGUUAUCCGGAUUUACUGGGUGUAAAGGGAGCGUAGACGGCAAUGCAAGCCAGAUGUGAAAGCCCGGGGCUCAACCCCGGGACUGCAUUUGGAACUGUGUAGCUGGAGUGUCGGAGAGGCAGGCGGAAUUCCUAGUGUAGCGGUGAAAUGCGUAGAUAUUAGGAGGAACACCAGUGGCGAAGGCGGCUUACUGGACGGCAACUGACGCUGAGGCUCGAAAGCGUGGGGAGCAAACAGGAUUAGAUACCCGAGUAA
rnacentral:rRNA from 1 species